rnacentral:misc_RNA from 1 species
GCAAACUUGGUCAUUUAGAGGAAGUAAAAGUCGUAACAAGGUUUCCGUAGGUGAACCUGCGGAAGGAUCAUCAAAGAAAAAAAUAAGUGAAAAAAAAAUUUAUUUUUUUUUUCACAUUAUUAUUAAUUUUUUCUUUUCUUUUCUUUCCCCUUGCCUCGUUUUUGAAUUAAAAUGAAGUUGAGGAAGAAAAGGAAGAAAAAGAUAACUUGUUAAUUUUUCUCUCUUUUUUGUCUUGUGGUGUAUGAAAGAUUUCUUCUUUUAAUUACCCAAGACCUCUUUCCCCUUAAUGUAUUGUGCAUUAAGGGGAAUGUCAUUAACUUUCAAAUGAGAAUUUUCCUUGUCUGAAAAAAUAAUUUAUUAUAUAAAUUAACAACUUUUAACAAUGGAUCUCUUGGUUCUCGCAUCGAUGAAGAACGCAGC